CUCUAACUUUCCUAAUUGCACAAUAGUCCCUCGAAGAAAAUAUCUAAAAAGAUAAUCGCACUAUUGUCCCAAAUGAAAAUAUCUCCAAAAGAUAUUCGCAUAAAGGCUUCCAAAAAAGAAAAUGUUCUCAAACUUAAUUGCACAUAAAACCCUAAAUAAUAAAAGAUGAAACAAAAACAAGUGCAACACAAAUUGUAAAUGAAAGAACUGUCGAGAACUAUUCCCGAGCAUUUGACUCGGUCCCGUUCGACAAGACUUGAACCCCAAAAAAAAUAAACGGAAAAAAAAAAAUUUCAGAAAAAUCAAAAAAGGGACCGGUUUCUACAAAUCAUGUUUAGUAAAAUACUUUUAUUUUUUAUCUUUUAGGAAGUACUUUCAUAUCUAAUGAAGAAAGAGAGUGAAGUUUUCUUACUUUGUAUGCUUUCUCUGCUGUAGCGGAGAAUUACUUCUAGCUACUGUAGCGGAAGGACCAACUUAAAAAUUUACGCAAUUAAAUAUCGUUAUAACACAGAUUCUCUCUCACGCAAAACCCCUUUCUUUCUCUUAUGCAUUGCAAACCCCUCUAUCUAUCAUAUUGGUGACACCACAACCAUCAGUCGAUCAGCAACAUCACCCACAACCAUCAGUCGAUCAGCAACAUCACCCACAACUAGUCGAUCAGUGACGCCACCAACAACCAUUCAAUCAGCAACAACGAUGACAGGGUUCCAUUAUUCUCAACUCCUGAUGGUUGACAUUCUCCUUUUUCAUGCUCUAUGCUUGACAAAUUGCCCGGAAGAACUAGUAUGGAAGAGUUUUAAGGUCUAUGGCUUCUUAUUGCAUUGGAGGGACGGUGGAUAAUAUGGCAAAGAUACAUGUAAUGCAUAUAGUAGAUGACAACUCGUGAAGCCAACAUUUAAGACAAGACUUGAAAUUAUAUAUCUAGGCAACUUCUUCUUCUUCUUCUUCUUCUUCUUCUUUUGUUUUUUGUCUUCUUCUUUUUGAUAGGAGAUAGAAAAAAUAAUCCUUUUUUUAGAAUGUAUAUAACCUGAAAUUGUAUGAUUUUGUAUUAAUCACAAUUUCAAAUAUUAAUUAAUGAUACGAGGCA